rnacentral:rRNA from 1 species
GACGAACGCUGGCGGCGUGCCUAAUACAUGCAAGUCGAGCGGGACUCUUCGGAGUCCAGCGGCGGACGGGUGAGUAACACGUGGGCAACCUGCCUGUAAGACUGGGAUAACACCGGGAAACCGGUGCUAAUACCGGAUAAUCCUUUCCCUCACAUGAAGGGAAGCUGAAAGACGGUUUCGGCUGUCACUUACAGAUGGGCCCGCGGCACAUUAGCUAGUUGGUGAGGUAACGGCUCACCAAGGCGACGAUGCGUAGCCGACCUGAGAGGGUGAUCGGCCACACUGGGACUGAGACACGGCCCAGACUCCUACGGGGGGCAGCAGUAGGGAAUCUUCCGCAAUGGACGAAAGUCUGACGGAGCAACGCCGCGUGAGCGAUGAAGGCCUUCGGGUCGUAAAGCUCUGUUGUCAGGGAAGAACAAGUAUCGGAGUAACUGCCGGUACCUUGACGGUACCUGACCAGAAAGCCACGGCUAACUACGUGCCAGCAGCCGCAGUAAAAC